rnacentral:rRNA from 1 species
CACGUAGGGGGCAAGCGUUGUCCGGAUUUAUUGGGCGUAAAGAGCUCGUAGGCGGCUUAGUAAGUCGGGUGUGAAACCUCCAGGCUCAACCUGGAGACGCCACCCGAUACUGCUGUGGCUAGAGUCCGGUAGGGGAGCGUGGAAUUCCUGGUGUAGCGGUGAAAUGCGUAGAGAUGUGGAGGAACACCAGUGGCGAAGGCGACUCUUUGGCCUAUAACUGACGCUGAGGCGCGAAAGCGUGGGGAGCAAACAGG